rnacentral:tRNA from 1 species
GGUGGGUUAAAUCAGUGGUUAGAGCGUAGGUCUCGUAAUCGAAUGGUCGCAGGAUCAAAUCCCGCUAGAAGCA